rnacentral:rRNA from 1 species
GGUUUGACGGUACCUAUAAAGGAAGCACCGGCUAACUCCGUGCCAGCAGCCGCGGUAAUACGGGGGGUGCAAGCGUUGUUCGGAAUUAUUGGGCGUAAAGCGCGUGUAGGCGGUCUGAUUAGUCUGAUGUGAAAGCCCUGGGCUCAACCCAGGAAGUGCAUUGGAUACUGUCAGACUUGAAUACGGGAGAGGGUAGUGGAAUUCCUAGUGUAGGAGUGAAAUCCGUAGAUAUUAGGAGGAACACCGGUGGCGAAGGCGGCUACCUGGACCGAUAUUGACGCUGAGACGCGAAAGCGUGGGUAGCAAACAGGAUUAGAUACCCUGGUAGUCCACGCCGUAAACGAUGAGAACUAGGUGUYGCGGGUA